rnacentral:rRNA from 1 species
UGAGGAAUAUUGGUCAAUGGGCGAGAGCCUGAACCAGCCAAGUCGCGUGAGGGAAGACGGUCCUACGGAUUGUAAACCUCUUUUGUCGGGGAGUAAUAGGCGGGACGUGUCCUGCUGUGAGAGUACCCGAAGAAAAAGCAUCGGCUAACUCCGUGCCAGCAGCCGCGGUAAUACGGGGGAUGCGAGCGUUAUCCGGAUUCAUUGGGUUUAAAGGGUGCGUAGGCGGCUUUGCAAGUCAGCGGUGAAAGGCCCGGGCUCAACCCCGGAAAGUGCCGUUGAUACUGUGAGGCUGGAAUGCGGAUGCUGUGGGAGGAAUGAGUGGUGUAGCGGUGAAAUGCAUAGAUAUCACUCAGAGCACCGAUUGCGAAGGCAUCUCACAAAUCCGCAAUUGACGCUGAGGCACGAAAGCGUGGGGAUCGAACAGGAUUAGAUACCCUGGGUAGU